ACAAAGGCACCAGGUGGCACCUGCUCUGCACUGAAUGGCAUUCGUGUCUUGAGUCUUCUUUGGAUCAUCUCGGGACACACCAGUCAGAUGACUGCAUGGCUGUCUUUGGAUAAUGUGCUUGAAUGGAACAGCAGAGUGCUUAGAAACCCACUGUGUGUUUACUCUUGGAGUGGUCCCUUCUAUCUUGGAGUUGAUACAUUUUUCCUGAUCAGUGGUUGGUUAAGUGCAAGUUCGUUUUUAAAGAUGCAUCAGAAUUCAGACAAAGGAAUAACCCCCAAAGGCAUACUCAGAUACUUUCUCAGUCACCUGGUAAGGUUGCAGCCUCUUCACCUGUAUUCAAUGUGCUUGUUGGUUGGACUGUUCUCUCUUGUUCCCUGGGGACCUGUCUGGGAAAUGCCCAAAUUCCACUGGGAUAACUGCCGGCAAGCAUGGUGGACGAAUCUGCUGUUGCUAAAUAACUUUGUGUCGGUCAAGAAUGCGUGCAAUGGCUGGACCUGGUACCUUGCCAAUGACUUCCAGUUCCACCUCACC
rnacentral:lncRNA from 1 species